rnacentral:lncRNA from 1 species
UGUGUGUAGAUAUUAACAUUUUAAUGACCACAUAUUCACUUAGGAUCUCACUUCGUAAAGGCCACAGGACUGAAAUUGAAUGAAUGCAACAACCAUGUCUCUGUCACCUGCAAACACAGUCAUAGGUGGUACUGGUAACAAAAAUUCACCCUGGGAAUUAUGCAAAUAAGACUUAAAACCCUACAGCAGGACUAUUCAAUUCCGGUCUGGAGGGCCAAAACAUUUAUGGUUUUGGAAGAACUAUUUAUGGUUCUUCAGAGACACUAAAAUGGUUCCCCUAUGGCAUCACUCUCAAUAACCAUAUUUGGUUCCAUCUUGCACCUUUAUUUUUAAGAAUGUAUUAUGUAUAUCAAUAAUGGGUAGACCCCUCUCCCUCUCUGUCUCAGCGGGAUGUAAGCUAUGGGCCCCUAUCCCUCUCUGUGUCUCUCAGUGAGACAGAAAGUAGGCUGGGGGCCCAGGGCCCUGAGUGUCUGUGUUCUAAUUGCUGUUCUGGCGAUCCAGUGAGGAGGGCCAGCCAGUACCGAGGGGAGGGCUGUUCCUUUACCACACUGAUUUAUUGGACAAUUUCACAGCAGUGUCUGCAGUAAUGGGACAGGAUAAAUGGCUGACCCCUCUCUGACUGAGAUAACUCCAGGGGAAGAGGAGAGCAUGCUGGCCUGCCUCCCCACUUGGUGUGUGUGUGGCAACUUUCCUUCCCUACUCUGUCUAUAUAACCCCCACUAAUUCUCCAUCUCUCCUUUCUUUAUCCCUCCCCUACUAUCCUAUCAUGAGCAAUUUGCUCCCACCCCAUGUCAUCCUCUCUAUCUUCCUCUCUCUAUCCCUCCGUGUGUGUGUGUCUUUCUUUCACUCUCCACAGUCCACUAUCACUCGGUAUUUAUCUAUUUUCUCCCUCCUGUCGGUCCUUUCUUUCUCUCCCCCUUCUCUCCCCCCUGCUGCCCACCCCUUUAUUCAACCCUUCCUCCUGGGCGUGUGCGUGAGUGUGUGCGUGCAUGUGUGGGGUGAUCCCAAGCCUUUUAUGGCUUGACCUGUAUGGGGGCAGGUAGAUUGCAGGUUGCACUACACAUUUCCAUAUCUGUCUGUUCUCUGUCCAUCUGUCCUAUGCUCUGCUGUGAACAGGCGAUGUCUGGCCGCCUCUCAACAGGUCCUUCACUCCGUGUGAACAGGCGAUGUCUGGCCGCCUCUCAACAGGUCCUUCACUCUGUGUGAACAGGAGGUGUCUGGCCGCCUCUCAACAGGUCCUUCACUCCGUGUGAACAGGAGAUGUCUGGCUGCCUCUCAACAGGUCCUUCACUCCAUGUGAACAGGAGAUGUCUGGCCGCCUCUCAACAGGUCCUUCACUCCGUGUGAACAGGAGAUGUCUGGCUGCCUCUCAACAGGUCCUUCACUCCGUGUGAACAGGAGAUGUCUGGCCGCCUCUCAACAGGUCCUUCACUCCGUGUGAACAGGAGAUGUCUGGCUGCCUCUCAACAGGUCCUUCACUCCGUGUGAACAGGAGAUGUCUGGCCGCCUCUCAACAGGUCCUUCACUCCGUGUGAACAGGAGAUGUCUGGCUGUCUCUUAACAGGUCCUUCACUCCGUGUGAACAGGAGAUGUCUGGCUGCCUCUCAACAGGUCCUUCACUCCGUGUGAACAGGCGUUGUCUGGCCGCCUCUCAACGGGCAUUUACACUUGGGGUAGUGAAGUGCAGUCUGGGAGGAAGGAAACAUGCUCUCACUCCUUAUCUCCCUCUCUUCAUCCCCACCCCUCUCUCUUUCAGUUUUAAUUUACCUCUCAUUUUCUCCCUCCCUCCCUCGUCUCUCCUCCUCUCUCUCUUUUCCUCACUUCAUCUCCCUCUCUUUCUCUCACUUUAGCCUCUCUCCCCCUCCCCUCCCCUUCCCUCUCUCUGUCUUUUGGCCCAGUGGUUAAUGGGAAUCAAAUGGCAUCUCCCGUGGCGUGCGUCAGACUAGCGGGCCGUGAGUGAGGGGCGGUGGGUAGGGGAGUGCCUGUCUGCUUGUGUCUCCACCACGGGACGCCCACGGCAACAGAUGACCCAUCACUGCAGAGACAGAGCCAUGGCAACACAUCUUAUUAGACCAACAGGGACCAUCUGAUAGAGCUAUUAGUGUAGGAAUGACAGGGUAAGGGCCGUUCUGAGCUCUUUAUCUGUUGUGGCUCCAACAUGGAGGACUGCUGUGCUGAGGAAGUGGUUGUCAUGCUGUGGGAACUGGGAUGGUCUGGCACUGACUUAACCUACUUAAACUUACUUUACAGUCAACAACCUUAUUGUACUAAAUUAUUAGAGGCCAAAUGAGAUAAUAGAUACUGUGUUAAAGUUAGGAUAUAUUGAUAUGUGUAAAGGAUGUGACUUUAGAGAGGGGGGUUCAACAGUGAUGAUAACUUGUGGUCAUUUUUUGAAAAACUCCUCUGGCCUCUGCCAGUAUGUAACCUUUGACCCUCCUCCCCAGUCCACACUGCAUCUGCCAGCCUUACAAAGCCACACAAAUAUCCCACACAUCACAUGUCUCUGCAUGGGGACCAGCAGAUAGCUGCUUAUCUACAUCACGUGUCUCUGCAUGGGGACCAGCAGAUAGCUGCUUAUCUACAUCACGUGUCUCUGCAUGGGGACCAGCAGAUAGCUGCUUAUCUACAUCACGUGUCUCUGCAUGGGGACCAGCAGAUAGCUGCUUAUCUACAUCACAUGUCUCUGCAUGGGGACCAGCAGAUAGCUGCUUAUCUACAUCACGUGUCUCUGCAUGGGGACCAGCAGAUAGCUGCUUAUCUACAUCACGUGUCUCUGCAUGGGGACCAGCAGAUAGCUGCUUAUCUUCACUGUUGUGUAAGGGGCUGAAGUCUCCUCUCCCAAAG